rnacentral:rRNA from 1 species
AAGGAACUAACCAGGAUUCCCUCAGUAACGGCGAGUGAAGCGGGACGAGCCCAGCACCGAAUCCCCCGGCCGGACGGCCGGCGGGAACUGUGGUGUGCGGGACGCCACCAGUCGCGUCUGCCGGCGCCGAAGUCCUCCUGAUCGAGGCCUCUCCCACGGCGGGUGUAAGGCCUUUGCGGGCGACGGCGGGCGCGGCCGCGAGCGUCCCAGGAGUCGGGUUGUUUGGGAAUGCAGCCCUAAGCGGGUGGUAAACUCCAUCUAAGGCUAAAUACUGGCGCGAGUCCGAUAGCGGACAAGUACCGUGAGGGAAGGUUGAAAAGAACUUUGAAGAGAGAGUUCAGUCAUAGCUGUUUCC